rfam:Mycobacterium sp. 852002-51759_SCH5129042 contig_215, whole genome shotgun sequence.
UCAGCACCUCGCUAGGCGAGGCUCCUGUACGAACACAGGCCACUGAUCCGACGACGUCGAGAGACGCCCAGGGUUAGGACAGAUCUUCCCGGAUUAAGGGAUGAUCCGAAGUGGCUUCUCCCGCAAGGGGAUACGUCGUACAGUGCCGAAGCUCUGACGAGAGGGGUGCGUA